CUCCGUAGGUGAACCUGCGGAGGGAUCAUUACAAGAACGCCCGGGCUUCGGCCUGGUUAUUCAUAACCCUUUGUUGUCCGACUCUGUUGCCUCCGGGGCGACCCUGCCUUCGGGCGGGGGCUCCGGGUGGACACUUCAAACUCUUGCGUAACUUUGCAGUCUGAGUAAACUUAAUUAAUAAAUUAAAACUUUUAACAACGGAUCUCUUGGUUCUGGCAUUGAUGAAGAACGCAGCGAAAUGCGAUAAGUAAUGUGAAUUGCAGAAUUCAGUGAAUCAUCGAAUCUUUGAACGCACAUUGCGCCCCCUGGUAUUCCGGGGGGCAUGCCUGUUCGAGCGUCAUUUCACCACUCAAGCCUCGCUUGGUAUUGGGCAACGCGGUCCGCCGCGUGCCUCAAAUCGUCCGGCUGGGUCUUCUGUCCCCUAAGCGUUGUGGAAACUAUUCGCUAAAGGGUGUUCGGGAGGCUACGCCGUAAAACAACCCCAUUUCUAAGGUUGACCUCGGAUCAGGUAGGGAUACCCGCUGAACUUAAGCAUAU
rnacentral:rRNA from 1 species